rnacentral:lncRNA from 1 species
UCAUACUCCUGUGAAUGUUGCUGCCUCUCAACAAAUGCCUUUGCCUUUAUGCUAUUCAGGGUCAAAUGAGGCAGUUGAGACUUCUGAAGGAGCACAACGGGAACAAAAUUGUCCCAGUCUAGCUACUUCUGAGUCAAAUCGGCCAAUCUUUAACAGCUUUGAUGGACAUCCUGCUGCAAUACUUUGUUCGAAGAAAUGGCUCUCUCUGGGAAAUAAAGAGGAGACGGACAUAUUCAGAAAGUUGUGCUAA